rnacentral:pre_miRNA from 1 species
CCGAAUGAAAGCCUCGUCAGAAUCUUGUUUGAUAAUUGAUCGGUGGGACUUUCGUUCGUUU